AUGACCUUUGGUCUUAGAAUGACUUGUAUGAUGGAGGCUGCAAUGUAUCGCUAUUGGUCAGAUCUUCAGCCGGAACUCCUGGGCCUUGUUCUCAAGCACCUCCCCUCCCUGUCUGACCGUGUUCGUCUAAGAGCAGUCUGUCGCACCUGGCGCUCUAAUAGUAUGUUGCAGCCGCUUCCUCUGCCAUUCCCGUGGCUCACCCUCCCAGACGGUACUUUCCUCAGCAUUCCAGGCAGUGAAAUUCACCGCAUACCUGUACCAGAAGGUGCUUGUUGCCAAGGUUCCAUUGACAACUGGCUAUUCCUCAUUGACAAUGGUAAUGUGUGCUCAUUGAUGAAUCCUUUCUCCAAGACCGCACUAGAGCUUCCUAAUCUAGUGGCUGUUUGGGAGCGUGAGAUACGUUACCACUCUGACCGUAAACCGAUUUUCUAUAAGUUGGUGGUGCCCUCUCCCCUGGACUCAUCACCUCAUUCCCCUGUCGUUGCACUAAUCAUGGACGAUGGUUGUUUCCAUACACUCUGUAUUAGCCAGCCACCGAUUGCCACUGCCUCGCUCAGAGAUAAUAAGGAUCCAUGA
rnacentral:rRNA from 1 species